rnacentral:lncRNA from 1 species
AUCAAGUCCACCGGAUGCCCCUCUUCUACUUGGGACUUUGUCAUCAUGUCAUCAACAUGGCAUUCGCUUUCACGGUGAGUCAUAUCAUGGAACAAAGUCACCGUAGCCCUUUGAUCCGUGGCACCGACCUUCUUCUUCACUAGAGGAUAGUCUUCUCUCGAUGGUAGCUCGUGCCCCACAACAUUGGUAUCUCACCUUGGUGUAUCUUGAUGCAAUCAGGUGAAGAUAUCAACCUGCUCUUUCAACAGGGCUACCAUUCUGUUCUUGACUUGCCGAUGAAGCGGCCUCACUUUCGUUUCCCUUCUGACCUCGGCGGUACUUGGGAUGACAAUCUUGACCCGCUUCUCGUGCGGUUGAAUCACCUUCUCCUCUUGUUUCAACAACCUAGCUAAUUCCAGCAGAUCACAAACUUCUUCGCCUUUUUCUUCGGCAUGAUAGCUUGGAUUGUCGAAGUCAUAUAGAGGUGUAACCAAAUUGUUAUCGAUGAGAUCAGGAGGGUAAUCACUUUUGAGGUCGGAACCAAAUGAGUCAAAAGGAAAGAAAAUAAAAACAUUGCCAUUUUUAUUUUAUUUUUUAAACUGCAAAAAGUGAAAAACAGGGAGCACCGCUUUUGAUCACAAAAAUAUCCAUUUAUUACUGAUGCAAAAUGUUGCAAAAUGAAACACAUGAGAUGACCCUUACAAUGGACCAGUACGUUUCGGGCAAAACG